rnacentral:tRNA from 1 species
GGGGGCGCAUGUUCCACAGGGGCGAUGCUGCCUUGCAAGCAGCGUGCGGCGGGUGCAAGCCCCGUCGCCUCCACCA